GAUGAAGAACGUAGCGAAAUGCGAUACGUAAUGUGAAUUGCAGAAUUCAGUGAAUCAUCGAAUCUUUGAACGCAUCUUGCGCUCCUUGGUAUUCCGAGGAGCAUGCCUGUUUGAGUGUCGUGAAAUACUCUCAAUUUCAAUCUUUUUGUUUGAAAUUGGAUUUGGAUGUUGUUGUGGAUCUUGCUACGACUCAUCCUAAAUGCAUUAGCGAUCUGCCUUGAUCACACACAAUGUGAUAAGAUGAGCAUUGUUAUAAUCAAGUCAUGACUGCUUCUAACCGUCCCUUUGGGACAAACGUCUUAUGUCGUUUGACCUCAAAUCAGGUAGGACUACCCGCUGAACUUAAGCAUAUCAAUAAGCGGAGGA
rnacentral:misc_RNA from 1 species